GGCGGCGGCGGAGGAGGGGUGCGGCGGGGGAGGGGAGGAGGCCCGGCCCAGCGGCCACCGCCGCUGCCCGCGGGGACCGCUCGGACCGCCCGAACCGCCACGGGCGAUGGGCCCGAGACGGCGUUACGCAUCCCGGAUUCGCCUCGGUUCGGCCGCGCGUGUAUUUCCCUUCCUCCAUGACCUCCAACAAUGUAAAGUGGAAGAAACUGAGGUACCAUGAAAGAGAAAAGUAACUGGAACUGAGAAAAAGAAAGAGUGCCCCUCCCCCUAACACCGGGCAGAACUCACGUCUCUGGUCUUGGGGUCAAACCAGUGGCUGAUGUCCUGGCCCGCAACUUCCAGGAUGGGUUUCAGCAGCAGAUUUCCUGGGAAGGAGCAGCCGCCG